AAACGAUAAAGGCAAACUUAUCGAAAGGUAAGGACGCAAAGCUACAGACCUAAAGCAAAAAGCUAUGGUGGCUGAGCUACCGAA
rnacentral:ncRNA from 1 species